rnacentral:tRNA from 1 species
GCCGGGAUGGCGGAAUUGGUAGACGCGCUUGACUUAGGAUCAAGUGAGCUAGCUCGUGCAGGUUCGAGUCCUGUUCCCGGUA